UACGUAGGGGGCAAGCGUUGUCCGGAAUUAUUGGGCGUAAAGAGCGCGUAGGCGGUCUGAUAAGUCGGUUGUGAAAGUCGGGGGCUCAACCCUCGGAUGCCGAUCGAUACUGUCAGGCUAGAGUCCGGAAGAGGCGAGUGGAAUUCCUGGUGUAGCGGUGAAAUGCGCAGAUAUCAGGAGGAACACCAAUGGCGAAGGCAGCUCGCUGGGACGGUACUGACGCUGAGACGCGAAAGCGUGGGGAGCGAACAGG
rnacentral:rRNA from 1 species